GACGCACGCUGGCGGCGUGCCUAAUACAUGCACGUAGGACGCAGUUGCGAACGGGUUCGUAACGCGUCGGUAACUGCCUAUUAGCGUGGGAUAACUAUUGGAAACGAUAGCUAAUACCGCAUACUAGUAGUUGGACCUGCGUUGUAUUCGCUAGUAGGUAGGGUAAUGGCCUACCUAGGCAACGAUACAUACACGACCUGAGAGGGGUAUCGGCCACACUUGGACUGAGACACGGCCCAGACUCCGAAGGGAGGCAGCAGUAGGGAAUCUUCGGAAAUGGGGGGAGCCCGGACCGAGCAACGCCGCGUGAGUGAAGAAGGUGUUAGGACAGUAAAGCUCUGUUGUUAAGGAAGCGGUACUUAACCAGAAAGGGACGGCUAACUACGUGCCAGCAGCCGCGGUAAUAC
rnacentral:rRNA from 1 species